UCCCGUUGAUCCUGCGGGAGGUUGCUGCUAUCAGGGUUCGAUUCAGCCAUGCAAGUUUGCUCUCGCAAGAGGGCGGCAGACUGCUCAGUAACACGUCGAUAACUUAACCUUGGGUCUAGGAUAGCCUCGGGAAACUGAGGGUAAACCUGGAUAGGGGAUUGGUACUGGGAUGUCCUUUCCUUUAAAAGUAAUGCCCAAGGAUAGGUCGGCGGUGGAUUAGGUUGUUGGUGAGGUAACGGCCCACCAAGCCGAAGAUCCAUAGAGGCCUUGAGAGAGGUAGCCUCGAGAAGGGCACUGAGAUACUGGCCCUAGCCCUACGGGGUGCAGCAGGCGCGAAACCUUUACAAUGCACGAAAGUGUGAUAAGGGAACCCUGAGUGCUUAGCUUUUGCUAGGCUUUUUUCAAGGGUAAAUACCUUGAAGAAUAAGUGGUGGGCAAGACUGGUGCCAGCCGCCGCGGUAACACCAGCGCCACGAGUGGGAACCGGUUUUAUUUGGCCUAAAGCGUCCGUAGCCGGUUUGGUAAAUCUUUUGUGAAAUCGUUGGGCUUAACUUAACGGCGUGCAGAAGACACUGCCAAACUUGGGACCAGGAGGAGUCAGAAGUAUUUCUGGGGUAGCGGUAAAAUGCAAUAAUCCCAGGAAGACUACCCGUGGCGAAGGCGUCUGACUAGAAUGGAUCCGACGGUGAGGGACGAAAGCUAGGGGAGCGAUCCGGAUUAGAUACCCGAGUAGUCCUAGCUGUAAACGCUGCGAGCAAGGUGUUGCAUAUUCUUCGUGAAUAUGCAGUGUCGAAACGAAGGUGUUAAGCUCGCCGCCUGGGAAGUACGGUCGCAAGACUGAAACUUUAAGGAAUUGGCGGGGGAGCACUACAAGGGGUGCGGCGUGCGGUUUAAUCUAACUCAACGCAGGGAAUCUCACCAGAAGCGACGGCAGGAUGAAAGUCAGAUUGAAGGUUUUACUUGACGAGCUAGAGGUAGUGCAUGGCCGUCGUCAGCUCGUGCCGUGAGGUGUCCUGUUAAGUCAGGCAACGAGCGAGACCUGUGCUUACAAUAGCUAACGAUUGAUUUAUCAAGAUCGAGCACAUUGUAGGGACUGCCUGUGAAAACAGGAGGAAGGUGCAGGCUACGGUAGGUCUGUAUGCUCCGAAUCUUCUGGGCUACACGCGCGCAACAAUGGUAGGGACAAUGGGAUACAACUCCGAAAGGAGAAGUUAAACCUCUAAACCCUAUCUUAGUCCAGAUUGAGGAUUGUAACUCAUCCUCAUGACGCUGGAAUCCCUAGUAAUCGGAUUUCAUCAUAGUCCGGUGAAUAUGUCCCUGCUCCUUGCACACACCGCCCGUCAAACCACUCGAGCAGGGUUUAGGUGAGGAUUGGUUUUUUUGAUCACUCCGAACCUGAGCUCAGUGAGAUGGGUUAAGUCGUCACAAGGUA
rnacentral:rRNA from 1 species